rnacentral:rRNA from 1 species
CGCGGCCUAUCAGCUUGUUGGUGGGGUAAUGGCCUACCAAGGCUUCGACGGGUAGCCGGCCUGAGAGGGUGACCGGCCACACUGGGACUGAGACACGGCCCAGACUCCUACGGGAGGCAGCAGUGGGGAAUAUUGGACAAUGGGCGGAAGCCUGAUCCAGCAACGCCGCGUGAGGGAUGACGGCCUUCGGGUUGUAAACCUCUUUCAGCACAGACGAAGUUGCCCUUUUGGGGUGGUGACGGUAUGUGCAGAAGAAGCACCGGCCAACUACGUGCCAGCAGCCGCGGUAAUACGUAGGGUGCGAGCGUUGUCCGGAAUUAUUGGGCGUAAAGGGCUCGUAGGCGGUCUGUCGCGUCGGGAGUGAAAUCCACUGGCUUAACUGGUGGCUUGCUUUCGAUACGGGCAGACUGGAGGUAUGCAGGGGAGAACGGAAUUCCUGGUGUAGCGGUGAAAUGCGCAGAUAUCAGGAGGAACACCGGUGGCGAAGGCGGUUCUCUGGGCAUGUCCUGACGCUGAGGAGCGAAAGUGUGGGGAGCGAACAGGAUUAGAUACCCUGGUAGUCCACACCGUAAACGUUGGGCGCUAGGUGUGGGAUCCAUUCCACGGGUUCCGUGCCGCAGCUAACGCAUUAAGCGCCCCGCC